rnacentral:rRNA from 1 species
GAUGAACGCUGGCGGCGUGCCUAAUACAUGCAAGUCGAGCGAACAGAUAAGGAGCUUGCUCCUUUGACGUUAGCGGCGGACGGGUGAGUAACACGUGGAUAACCUACCUAUAAGACUGGGAUAACUUCGGGAAACCGGAGCUAAUACCGGAUAACAUAUUGAACCGCAUGGUUCAAUAGUGAAAGGCGGCUUUGCUGUCACUUAUAGAUGGAUCCGCGCCGGAUUAGCUAGUUGGUAAGGUAACGGCUUACCAAGGCAACGAUACGUAGCCGACCUGAGAGGGUGAUCGGCCACACUGGAACUGAGACACGGUCCAGACUCCUACGGGAGGCAGCAGUAGGGAAUCUUCCGCAAUGGGCGAAAGCCUGACGGAGCAACGCCGCGUGAGUGAUGAAGGUCUUCGGAUCGUAAAGCUCUGUUAUCAGGGAAGAACAAAUGUGUAAGUAACUGUGCACAUCUUGACGGUACCUGAUCAGAAAGCCACGGCUAACUACGUG